rnacentral:lncRNA from 1 species
GCUGUCUCAGCAGGGGAGAGGCAAGAGGGCUGCCGAGGCUGGCUGGGGCGUGCUGUCUCAAUGGUGGGGGAAGUGGUGGGGAACAAAGGCCUCCCUAAGGGCUCCAUGCCGGAUUCUAGUUUGCCGGCUAAUCAUUGUUAAAUACAUGCACAUAUUUGCUCAGAGCUUGACUGUGUUACUUCUAAUCAAUUCCUUUUUUCCUUUAAGAUCUGGAAAUCCAAUUGGCUAACACAGCAUGAGGUGAGCACAGCCAGGUCCAGGCCUGCACCGCAGUUGUGGCCACACCACAGCUGCCAAGCUGACGCAGGGAUGCCACCACACAGCCAGGGAUGGAGGCCACUUCCCCAGUGUCGGCCCAGGAUGCCAGGCAUCUGCAGAGCCUUCAUCCGGGCCGAGGCUCCCACAGGAAUGCCAACAACGCAUCCUCAGGCUCCUCCCUUUGAAGCACAUGAGAGAACGGACACACCAACCCCCACUGGAAGCAGUGAACAGGGGUAUCAGCGAGACAGCAGGGACCCUUCGAGUAUGUGGAAUGUCCCAUGUCAUCCCUACAAAAGUGUGGGGCUGAGCGUCACAUCCCAGCACGGCAUAACGUCGACAGUUUCCUGCUACAAUGACCUCCAAAGGAGGCCUGAGACACAACAGAAGGUGGAGGUUACCUCCAACAUCCAACCCACCAGCACAGACAGAAGGAAGAAAGCUGGAGAAAAGGCCGAGAUGCAAAACUGA